CAAACCCAAAUACAUGCAUAGUACUCUGCACACAUGCAUGCACACAAUGUGCUCUUCUAAAAGGUUCUUGAUCAGCAAGCUCUUGUGCCAAAACCGUAUGCUUUUACUUUCCAUCUAAAAAGGCAGAGAACUUUUAUUCUAAAGUCCUUCGAGAAUACUGCUGUUCCUUCAGCAGAACUAUUUUCAAAUUUCUGGCUUCACUUAUUAGUGUUGUGCGCAAAAAAUAAAUAAAUAAAUCACCAAAAACAUCUUUUGGCAGUAGACACACACACACAAAGAAAAAAAAUCAAUUUGAGCAGUGAUCAAGUCCCACAAAAAGAUAACACACAUAACCUAACUUGACCUAACCAAAACUACUGAUCAUACAAACUGAAGCCAAAGUGAAAAACAAACUGUUUUCUAAAGCAAAGGACAUAAAAUUACGUUUUCAAAUCAAGACGAAUGCUAGAAACUAUUACUUUUUAAGAAAAAACUUAUUAUUUUUACACAUUUAGCUGAGAUAAAGGGGUAUUGGGAGCAUCAGGUACAGUCAGGUAUUAGAUGUAGAAAGCUCACUCUUCUUUUAGCUCUUUUUUGUGUCUCUUCCAGCCCUGAAGGAAACAGCUGGCUGCUAAAUGCCCCACUACAAUCAACAGGUCUAUAAAAAGUGAGUUUAUUUAAAAAUUUCAAUUAGGAUCACUUUUAAGCAAGGAGUAGCAUUUUAAUUAGGCGUCUUUAAAGCUCAACCUCUAUCAAAAAGUAAUUUUAUUUCUAUCAGUUAAUAGUGGAGGUCUUUCUGAGCAAUACCAAGCAAAUAUACUCUUUGAAAAGUGAUUUUUUUUCCUCCUAUAAAAGGUAAGGGGUGUCUGUGGAUUACAAAAUGGGCAUUUUUCUUUCAGGAGAAUUACUUUUGAUUGACAUAUUCCAUUGUAAUGCAAAUUGAUGAUGAUCCCCUUGAUGGAAAGAAAAUUACUAUUAAUUUGUGUUGGGGUUGAGGGAGUCCUGUUGAAAAUUGCUAUGGUACCUGACAUCUCAGAGCUAACACAUAAAAUGGCGACCAUCAGCCCCCUCCCUAGCUCUUUAAAACAAUGCUGUGGAAACAGGGAAGUUGCUAGGAAACAGACAGGAGUCUAUAAGUAUACAGUUUGAUCUCUGAGAUUCAAUAUAGGAAUAAUAUGAUACAUCAUUCAAGAUAAAAGUAUCAACAUGGUAUGAAAAACAAUGAAGAACCAACAGUUUACAAGCUUUAUAGGCAAGGCACAGUUCCUCUCCAACAAGUCUAUAUCAAUUACGGAAAGAGCGCCGAUCUCCUGAGAUAGUCUUCUCUCUGACACAAGACUCUACCUUCCUGCACCUAACUCAACCGUCAGAUUCUUCUGGUGGCUGUCUUCUCUGUUUUGUGCAUACUCAAAGUUUUUCAGACUUUCCCAACUUUUGCAAUGAUUACUAUUUGAAAUGUAGCAAAUGGCUAAAUGGCCAAUAUAAGCUUUUUUGCUUCAACUUCAUCAUUAUGUAGUAAAUGUUAGAAUACUGCAGUGGGUACAAAAUAAAGACCAUCAGCGUUGGUCAUGUCUGUGUCAACAAAAAAUAUUUUACCAUACAUUAUGUGGAGCACAUUUUUGCUCAGCGUGACACCCUGGAAAAACAUAAAUUGUGCAAAUCAGAUAAAUGGAGGCUCUCGACUGUUUGCGCUGCAUGUAGUCACCCUUUUAACCUUUUCACAACUGCAGACUGUCUAGGGGCAAAUCAAAUACUCUCCUCUUAUAAACAAAAAAAGGAUAUUAUCUAAAUGGCAACAGAAUUAUUUUCUUUUAUCACGCAGUCACUUUUUUUUUUUUUUACUGUUUUAGCUAUUAAGUGUCUGAUUGCAUUCCCUCUCAGUCACAUGUGUUAUCUCUGCUUGACACUUCCUUCGCCUCAUGGUAGGUGGUACAACGGCUGUUGUGAAAGCAGGAGCCAUUUACAAGAUGGCAAAAAAAGGACUCAUUUUACUAAGCUGGUCAAAAGACAAAUUACAAAUCCUGCCAGACUACUAACUCCAGCAAUAACGACACCUUUAGUAUAACAGUGCUGAAGAGCUCCAAAACAAUCAUGAGAUAAUUCUCACAACUAAUCAGGAGCUCUAUGGGUCAUUUAUAAUGACCACACGUCACACUGGAGCACCGGCACUGUAAAAUACAUUGAAUGGCCUCAUAUGUAAGAAAGCAAUUGAUGUUUAGGCCACUCUUG